rnacentral:rRNA from 1 species
AGGCGNNGCUACCAUGCAAGUCGUACGAGAACUCUUUAGCUUGCUAAAGAUAGUAAAGUGGCGUACGGGUGAGUAUCGCGUGGGUAAUCUACCUCCGAAUUGGGGAUAACAUUGCGAAAGCGAUGCUAAUACCGAAUAAUAUCUUUUGAGCUUCGGCUUUUAAGAUCAAAGGUGGUCUCUACAUGUAAGCUACUGUUUGGAGAUGAGCCCGCGUACCAUUAGCUUGUUGGUAGGGUAAUGGCCUACCAAGGCCGCGAUGGUUAGCUGGUCUGAGAGGAUGAUCAGCCACACUGGAACUGACACACGGUCCAGACUCCUACGGGAGGCAGCAGUGAGGAAUUUUGCGCAAUGGGGGAAACCCUGACGCAGCAACGCCGCGUGAGUGAUGAAGGCUUUCGAGUCGUAAAGCUCUGUCAAGUGGGAAGAACCGGAAAGACGUUAAUAUCGUCUUUCCCUGACGGUACCACUGAAGGAAGCACCGGCUAACUCCGUGCCAGCAGCCGCGGUAAUACGGGGGGUGCAAGCGUUAUUCGGAAUCAUUGGGCGUAAAGGGCGCGUAGGCGGCUCCUUAAGUCAGAUGUGAAAGCCCGAGGCUUAACCUCGGAAGUGCAUUUGAAACUAAGGGACUUGAGUAUGGGAGAGGGAAGUGGAAUUCCUGGUGUAGAGGUGAAAUUCGUAGAUAUCAGGAGGAACACCGGUGGCGAAGGCGACUUCCUGGACCAAUACUGACGCUGAGGCGCGAAGGCGUGGGGAGCAAACAGGAUUAGAUACCCUGGUAGUCCACGCAGUAAACGGUGAACACUAGGUGUAGCGGGUAUUGACCCCUGCUGUGCCGCANUUAACGCAUUAA